rnacentral:rRNA from 1 species
AACGACUCUCGACAACGGAUAUCUCGGCUCUCGCAUCGAUGAAGAACGUAGCGAAAUGCGAUACUUGGUGUGAAUUGCAGAAUCCCGUGAACCAUCGAGUCUUUGAACGCAAGUUGCGCCCGAAGCCAUUAGGCUGAGGGCACCUCUGCCUGGGUGUCACGC